UGCACUGCGUGCGACCUCCCUU
rnacentral:miRNA from 13 species